UGGAGGUGGUGGAUGUGGCGGUGGUUGAGAAUUUUAUGGCAUCUGAUCGAUCUCAAUAUUGACUGGUUUCGUUUGCUUGUGCUUCUGUUCACCCGAAAGAUGGUCAGACAGAAAAGAUUCAACCAGACGUGGCAGCGUCGGCGGCCGAGUUUGAGGUGGUUAACACUCAUCCGAACGAUAAAUGUACUAUAUCUUAAUUUCCAAGGCAAUGGCGGCUUCUUGGAAUCAUUGUCCUGGUGAUAGGAACCCUCUUGUCAACGAUCAUCUUUAAGAUCUUAAAAUCUUGCGUAACUUAUUAUCUUCUUAUAUUAGAAGGAUUUUUAAUUUACUAUUAUAGAAAUUGGAAGGUUUAUGCAUGUGUGUGUGUAUUUGGUCAUGAUUUGUACUUGUGACUUGUUUAUGUACUUGUAAAGCACAAGGAGAUAGUUCUACCUGCAUUCCCAGCACAUUGAUGACUACUAUAUGAAAUUCAAGACAAUAUAUAAGCGAACAUUAUUUGAAAGUGA